rnacentral:rRNA from 1 species
AUACAGAGGGUGCAAGCGUUAAUCGGAAUUACUGGGCGUAAAGGGCGCGUAGGUGGUUAGUUUAGUCAGAUGUGAAAUCCCCAGGCUUAACCUGGGAACUGCAUCUGAAACUGGCUAGCUAGAGUACAGUAGAGGGAAGUGGAAUUUCCGGUGUAGCGGUGAAAUGCGUAGAUAUCGGAAGGAACACCAGUGGCGAAGGCGACUUCCUGGACUGAUACUGACACUGAGGCGCGAAAGCGUGGGGAGCAAACAGGAUUAGAUACCCCAGUAGUCC